rnacentral:rRNA from 1 species
AUUGAACGCUGGCGGCAUGCCUUACACAUGCAAGUCGAACGGCAGCGCGGACUUCGGUCUGGCGGCGAGUGGCGAACGGGUGAGUAAUACAUCGGAACGUACCCUGUUGUGGGGGAUAACUAGUCGAAAGAUUAGCUAAUACCGCAUACGACCUGAGGGUGAAAGUGGGGGACCGCAAGGCCUCACGCAGCAGGAGCGGCCGAUGUCUGAUUAGCUAGUUGGUGGGGUAAAGGCCCACCAAGGCGACGAUCAGUAGCUGGUCUGAGAGGACGAUCAGCCAGAGUGGUAAUGAGAAACGGCCCAGGCUCCUACGGGAGGCAGGAGUGGGGAAUUUUGGACAAUGGGGGCAACCCUGAUCCAGCAAUGCCGCGUGUGUGAAGAAGGCCUUCGGGUUGUAAAGCACUUUUGUCCGGAAAGAAAUCGCGCUGGUUAAUACCUGGCGUGGAUGACGGUACCGGAAGAAUAAGCACCGGCUAACUACGUGCCAGCAGCCGCCGUAA